rnacentral:rRNA from 1 species
CACUGUCACUCCUACGGGGAGGCAGCAGUCGGGGAAUAUUGCACAAUGGGCGCAAGCCUGAUGCAGCCAUGCCGCGUGUGUGAAGAAGGCCUUCGGGUUGUAAAGCACUUUCAGUCGUGAGGAAGGCGGGUACGUUAAUAGCGUAUUCGUUUGACGUUAGCGACAGAAGAAAGCACCGGCUAACUCCGUGCCAGCAGCCGCGGUAAUACGGAGGGUGCGAGCGUUAAUCGGAAUUACUGGGCGUAAAGCGCAUGCAGGUGGUUUGUUAAGUCAGAUGUGAAAGCCCGGGGCUCAACCUCGGAAUUGCAUUUGAAACUGGCAGACUAGAGUACUGUAGAGGGGGGUAGGAAUUUCAGGUGUAGCGGUGAAAUAGCGUAGAGAUCUGAAGGAAUACCGGUGGCGAAGGCGGCCCCCUCGGACAGAUACUGACACUCAGAUGCGAAAGCGUGGGGAGCAAACAGGAUUAGAUACCCUGGUAG